UUGGGGUGAGGUAGUAGGUUGUAUAGUUUGAGGGUUUAACCCUUGCUGUCAGAUAACUAUACAACUUACUGUCUUUCCCGA
rnacentral:pre_miRNA from 12 species